rnacentral:rRNA from 1 species
GACUCUGAGUUAUCCAACCUAAGUCCAGAUUCCGACCAGAAAUGGAAGGAACGGUUUUAUUAGAUCAAAACCAAUAGGUCAGCUUCGACCCAGUUGUUGAAUUUUGGGUUGCUCUGGAUAACUCUAGGCUGAUAGCACGGUCUCCGCACCGGUUUCCUUUCAAAUGUCUGCCUUAUCAACUGACGAUGGUAGGCUCUGUAACAGGUGACGUAGAAUCAGGGUUCGACUCCGGAGGGGGUGUCCGAGAAACGGCUACCACAUCCAAGGAAGGCAGUAGGCGCGCAAAUUACCCACUCCCGGCACGGGAAGAUAUUGACGAAAAAUAACGAUAAGGGACUCAUCAGAGGCCCCGUAAUCGGAAUGAGAAAACUUUAAUUCCUUUAACAAACACUAUCAGANGCCGCGGUAAUUCCAGCUCUGAUAGCUUAUAUUAAAGUUCCUGCGGUUAAAAAGCUCGUAGUUGGACAUGUGACUCGCGCUGCUGGUUCAUAGCUCGUCGGUGUCUAAGUACCACGCAUGCGGUACGUUCAGCUGGUGGCGGCGAACCGUCGUCGGGCACACGCUUUUAUGCGCCGAGCGGUAAGCGGAGUUCGUCGUAUGGAGCAAUUGUGCGACCGAUCCCCGUUCAGAUUGCGGUCGCUCGUUAGAUCUUCGAAGCCGGACCCAGUUGACGCCCGCCACGGUGCUCUUGAUUGAAUGUCGCGCGGGCAGGCACGUUUACUUAGUUCUCAAAGCAGAACCUUGAGUGCCUGAAUACAGUGUGCAUGGAAUGAUGAAACAGGAUCUCGGUUCUAUUUUGUUGGUUUUUGGAGCUCGAGGUAAUGAUUAAUGGGGAUUGCCGGAGACAUCCGUAUUGCGACGUUAGAGGUGAAAUUCUUGGAUCAUCGCAAGACGAACUGCAGCGAAAACGUUUGUCAAGUAUAUUUUCUUUAAUCAAGAACGAAAGUUAGAGGUCCGAAGGCAAUCAGAUACCGCCCUAGUUCUAACCAUAAACUAUUCCAUCUAGCGAUCCGCUGUGUGUCUUAGAUGUCACGGCGGGCAGUCCUCGGGAAACCAAAGAUUUUGGGUUCCGGGGGAAGUGUGGUUGCAAAGCUCAAACUUAAAAGAAUUGACGGAAGGGCACCACCAGCAGUGGGGCCUGCGGCUUAAUUUGACUCAACGCGGGGUAUCCUAAUAGGUCCGAACACUCGAGAGAUUGACAGAUUGAGAACUCUUUCUUGAUUGGGUGAGUUGUGGUGCAUGACCGUUCUUCAUUAGUGAGGCGACUUGUCUGCUUCAUUGCGUUAUAGCACGAGACUCUAGCCUACUAACUAUUCGAUACCGGCAUCCCAUGUUCAGCCGACGACAAUAAAUCUUCUAAGAGGGACAACUGGUGUAUAGCCACACGAGAAUGAGCAAUAAUAGGACUGUGAUGCCCUUAGAUGUUCUGGACCGCACGCACGCCACACUGAAGAGAUCUCGGACUAAGAAGAGAGGACCGGGUAACUCGUUGAACCUCCUUCGUGCUAGGGAUUGGGGCUUGCAAUUAUUCCACAUGAACGACGAAUUCCUAGUAAGCGCGAGUCAUAACCUCGCGUUGAUUAUGUGUCUGCCCUUUGUCCACACCACCCGUCGCUACUACGGAUUGAAUGAUUGGACCAGCGCGCGGCUUUCGUAAUUUUUUUCGAAAACCGAUGCCACCAGAAAGUUGACCGAACUUCAUUAUUCAGACUAAGUGAAAGUCGUAACAAGGUUCCCUUGGUGAAUCUGCGUGAG